CCUUUUUGACAACAUCAAUUAAGAUCUUAAAAAAUUUUUAAAGAAAAAUAAAAAAGACUCUCCCUCACUAUAGAAAUCAAAAAGGAUAUUUCAAUUUGCUCAUCUAGAAGAUAUUAUCAUUCAUAAUAUUCCAUAGCACAUAUAUGAGGCAUCUUUCAUAUCACAUAAUUAAGAUAUUUUAAUUGAUGCCAUUCAUAAAAAUUAAUCCAAAUGACAUUCAUAGAAGUUAAAAGUAUAUAUAUAUAUCCAAAAUAUGACUGAAGAGUUAUCAGAUACAUAAGUGUCACAAUAUAUAAGAGUCAAGUCAAAAUACAUAGGCC
rnacentral:lncRNA from 1 species